rnacentral:rRNA from 1 species
GCCCAGCGCUGAAUCCUGCGGCCCCGGCGGGCCGCCGGGAAAUGUAGCGUUAGGGAGGAGAGUUUUAUAUAUUCGCGCGGUCAUUAGUCACGGCGGCCAGUCCAAGUCCAUCUUGAAGGGGGCCCCGCUUAUCCAUAGAGGGUGCCAGGCCCGUGGUGACGGUCGCCGGCCGCGACGGUCUCUCUCCCCAGAGUCGGGUUGCUUGAGAGUGCAGCCCUAAGCGGGUGGUAAACUCCAUCUAAGGCUAAAUACGACCACGAGACCGAUAGCGAACAAGUACCGUGAGGGAAAGUUGAAAAGGACUUUGAAGAGAGAGUUCAAGAGUACGUGAAACCGUUCAGGGGUAAACCUGUGGAACUCUAACGAGCGAACGGGGAGAUUCAUUCAUCGCGUCUCCGCCGGGGGCCGCCGGUUAACCUCCGGCGUUUCGGGCGUCGUUUCCUUCGGGUUGCGGCGUUCGGGCGUCGCGCUGGUUGUGCCGGUCGACAGCCCCUCGGAGCGCGUGCACUUCUCCCUUAGUAUAACACCGCGACCCGUCGUCUAAAAUAAAUGCGGUCGAACGCGUCGUGUCGCAGCCCCGGCGUGCGAGCUUUCGGGCUCGCCGCGCCGGUGCGGCUGGCGUCGCGGCCGCAGGGCGACGGUAAAGAACGAGGUACGCGUCCGCCUACGCGGUGCCGCUUUCGGGCGGUACUUUGGCGUCCGGCGGCGUAGCGGCGUGACUCCCCUCGUGGACCUCGGCACUUUACGGUGUCGUGGGCUCUGCGUGYGGUCAAGGCGUUUCCCGAAAGGGGGCGCCGGGUUGCGCGUCUGCUGCGCAUUCUCGGACGGGACGCGUCCCGGUCGGCGGUGGUUUUGUUUAGGGCACUCACAGGACCCGUCUUGAAACACGGACCAAGGAGUCUAGCAUGUGCGCGAGUCAUUGGGAAUUUAUAAACCCAGAGGCGCAAUGAAAGUGAACAGUGCCGUUUUCGGACGGCCGCAGGGAAGAUGGCGAACGGCACGUCCGCUCGUCCGCAUUCCCGAGGCGUUUCGAGAAAUGCCAUCGUUGCGAUUAUCGAGACGCRCUGAGAGCGCACACGCUGGGACCCGAAAGAUGGUGAACUAUGCCUGGUCAGGUCGAAGUCAGGGGAAACCCUGAUGGAGGACCGAAGCGAUUCUGACGUGCAAAUCGAU